rnacentral:lncRNA from 1 species
AGCAACUGCAGGGAGUUGGGCUGGGAGGGGAGCCCCACUUCUGGAUAUAUUUUUUCCUGCCUUCUAUGUUUCCUAGCAAACACCUCCAGAAACUACCAGACUCGGCCGAGGAUACCUCAGAGGAACUUCUCCAGAAACAAGGACAUUGGCUCUAGCGUGGGACGGGGGACAGGAUGCCUGUCCUCAGGGAGUGGUGGGCUGCUUUGCACCUGCAGACCCUCAUUCAUCCUGCAAGCCCCUCCUUUCUGAGAGACCACCACACGAGACACACAGAGGGCAGAUGACAGUGUGGACCAGCACAGGAGCAUGGACUUCUAACCUUAGGGUUCAGGAGCAAGGGGGCCACGGGAUCCUGGCUGACCUGGAGUGUCUGUGCCUGCGUGUGGGAAGGAAGGUUAUAGUUACAACUUCCCACUUUCAAGAAACAGAAUUUCAGAAGCCUUGCCCCCAGCCUGUGCUUGGAGGUCACCUUGAUGGCAAAAGUAGUCAAUGCCCCACAAAUGUGCUUUAAGUCCAGCACCUGGAAAAGCAGAGGCAGGUGGGUUUUUGUUAAAUUCAAGGCCAGUCUGGUCUCCAUAGUAAACCUUUGUCUCAAAAUGGGAGAAAGAAAGAAAGAGAUAGAACGAACACACACACACACACACACACUGCCCCAUCCUUUUUCUGGGUGUCAUGUAGCCCAGUCUGGCCUUAAAUUCCCUAUGUGCUGAGUGUGAUCUUGAACUCCUGAACCUCCUGCUUCCAUCCCGAGUGCUGGAACUACGGGCAUGUGCACAACCAUAGCUGGGAAACAAACCCGAGGCUUCACACAAGAGAAGCAAGCACUGCACUGAACCCUUCUGCUCCUUUGCUUCCUCUUUUACUCCCUUCUUCUCACACUCUCUGCCUCCCCUCCCUCCCCCUUUCUCUCUCCCUCCCUCCUUCCUAACUUUUUUUCAUUCUUGUACUAGAGAUAGAGCCUAGGGUCUCACACACGCUAAGCCUGCGCGGUUCCCACCUUGCCCGGUCGGGGUCACCUUGCCAUAAGGUGAGCACCAAGUCCUAACGUUGACACCCUUGGUAGAAAUAAAUUUCUGAGCAAUAAACUCAAGUGACUCCUCUGUUUCUUUCCAAGCCGAGUCCCACUGUCGUCCCCAACCCACGAAGCAGAGCACGUUACAGUGUCUUACACCUAGAUUGGCUCGGGAGCCGUGU